rnacentral:rRNA from 1 species
GAUGAACGCUGGCGGCGUGCCUAAUACAUGCAAGUCGAGCGAACAGAUGAGGAGCUUACUCCUCUGACGUUAGCGGCGGACGGGUGAGUAACACGUGGAUAACCUACCUAUAAGACUGGGAUAACUUCGGGAAACCGGAGCUAAUACCGGAUAAUAUAUUGAACCGCAUGGUUCAAUAGUGAAAGACGGUUUUGCUGUCACUUAUAGAUUGAUCCGCGCCGCAUUAGCUAGUUGGGAAGGUAACGGGUUACCAAGGCAACGAUGCGAAACCGACCUGAGAGGGUGAUCCGCCACCCUGGCAGUGAGACCCGGUCCAGACUCCUACGGGAAGCAGCAGUAGGGAAUCCUCCGCAAUGGGCGAAAGCCUGACGGGGCAACGCCGCGUGAGUGAUGAAGGUCUUCGGAUCGUAAAACUCUGUUAUUAGGGAAGACCAAAUGUGUAAGUAACUAUGCACGUCUUGACGGUACCUAAUCAGAAAGCCACGGCUAACUACGUG